CCUCCCUCCCUCCCUCUGAUUAGAGACCCCAGACCAGGAUGUGAGCUCCAGAGACUUGAAGGAGACUGAGGUGAGGUACAGUAAUAAGGAGAAGCCCUCCCCUCCCUCUGAUUAGAGACCCCAGACCAGGAUGUGAGCUCCAGAGACUUGAAGGAGACUGAGGUGAGGUACAGUAAUAAGGAGAAGCCCCCCCCUUAGCGGUGGGGACCGGGAGUACAACUUCCACUUUUUGCAAUUUCAGAUGCGUUUUUUGUGUCUAACUGCCCGUUUAUCGUUGAUGAUUGGUUGUUGCCGUGGGCAAUGGUGAAACCGGAUACCUAUGGAUAAACAGAUAUUUGAACUCCUCUUGUAUUCUGAAAUGAAACCGGAGGGAGGAGGGGAGGACUGAGAACUAUUACCUGAACAUAAAGAAUAAAAAGAGGGUUUAAUGGAGAAAGAAGAUGUGAACACCUUCUAACGUGCGAGAGGGAGGGCCGGGCGAACGAGAGGAUGGACAGACUUCUUUCUCUUUGAUUCAUUUCUCUCUUAAUCUAGAAUUUUUCUCUCCCUGUUUUUUGAUGUUGGGUUUUAUUAAGCGGGGUGGGUGAGGAGAUGGGGAGGGAGAAGUGGGCCGGCUGUGUGUGUUACCAUGUUUACGUCCCAAAAGGGCACCCUAUUCCCUUCAUAUAGUGCACUACUUGUGUCCAGGGCCCAUGGGGAUCUGAUCAAAAGUGGUGCGCUAUAUAGGGAGUAGGGUGCCAUUUGGGACUUAUCCUCUGAGAUGGGUUCAGUUUCUCUCCGGACAGCAAGAUGAACACCGGGGUCACACCCCAGCACUAUAAAGAAGCACCCUUCCUUCCUUCCUUCCUUCUUACUCUCCUUGUCCUUUGUGACAUCACUGACUUGACACAACUUGAAAGUGUAAAAGCUUGAACUCCAUUUUUUCAGUCAUAUCUGAUUCAUUGAUUAUUUCAAGAAAGGAGGCAGAGAGGGAAGAAAGGAGGCAGAGAGGGAGGGAAGGAAGGAGGGAACGAGGGGAAAAAGAGGAAGGAUGAGUGAAGAGAGGAGGGAGAGAGGGAAGGAAGGAGGGAACGAGGGGAAAAAGAGGAAGGAUGAGUGAAGAGAGGAGGGAGAGAGGGAAGGAAGGAGGGAACGAGGGGAAAAAGAGGAAGGAUGAGUGAAGAGAGGAGGGAGAGAGGGAAGGAAGGAGGGAACGAGGGGAAAAAGAGGAAGGAUGAGUGAAGAAAGGAGGGAGAGAGGGAAGGAAGGAGGGAACGAGGGGAAAAAGAGGAAGGAUGAGUGAAGAAAGGAGGGAAGGAAGGAGGGAAGGAAGAGAGGGAAGAAAGGAGGGAAGGAAGAGAGGGAAGAAAAGAGGGAAGGAAGAGAGGGAAGAAAAGAGGGAAGAAAGGAGGGAAGGAAGGAAGAGGGGGAGGGCGGGGUACAUUUUAAAGGUGUUGGAAUGUGGCUCUUGCCUUACAGCUCUGACCUGUAAAUGAACACACGCCACUGAUAUAUAUAUAUAUAAAUAAAUAAAUAAAUAUUAUAUACGAUGAAAAGUCCCUAAAAAUAAUUGGAUUAUGUUGUUGGGAGGGAGAACGGCUAAUCUGCCUUGUGCUCAAUUCCCUUUUGGUUUUUUAGAGAAUUGACUGUAAAAAAUAAAAAUAACAUUUUUUAUGAUGCUAUAAAAAAUAGUUUUGUCUUGUUCAUAACCUCCUUUCUCUCAUCCUGUUUUUCUCUGUAUCAAGUUCAGAUAUUCAAGAGUUUAAAGACCUCUGUUUUUAUUUAAACAGUAGGAAUAAUAACAAUGGCUGGGCUGAUGGUCAGUUCAGUGAGUUGGAGCCUUUGAUUGCCCUGCCUCUGGGAGCCUGUCGACUUGUUACAUGAUUACUGAGUGAAAGAGAGCC
rnacentral:lncRNA from 1 species